rnacentral:lncRNA from 1 species
GGGGUCCCUCGUUAAUGAGUGUCAUUAAGCUCAAUGUCGUCGAUGUACGCAGGAGCUCCAGGUGCAGGCCGAGGAGUUCCGGAGGAGGAGCGAGGAGGAGCGCAGGGAGCUGGAGAGGGAGAAGGAGGUUCUGUGCGCUCGGCUGCAGGAGUCCGUCUGCGAGAUCUCCCGGCUGGAGGCCAUCAUCGAGCAGGGCGCGAGAGCUUCCGAGCCUGCGUCGGAGGUGGCGCCCCCUUGUGGCGAGCGCUGCUCCGGGUUACGAGCGGAUCUGGAGAGGGCGCGGCAGAUCGCCGCGGAGAUAAAGGAAGAGCACGAGCUGCUGAAAGCAAAACACCAGGCCGAGGUGUCGGCGCUCCAGAAGGAGAAGGACGCUGCCGAAGAGAGAAUUCUAAAGCAGGCCGAGAGACACCAGGACGAGAAAAUAAGGGCAGCGUGCGAGAGCCUGAAGAAGGACCUGACGGAGCAGCACCUCCUGGCCGUGAGCCGCCUGGAGAGGGAGA